GUUAUCCGGAUUCACUGGGUUUAAAGGGUGCGUAGGUGGGUCUGUAAGUCAGUGGUGAAAUCUCCAAGCUUAACUUGGAAACUGCCGUUGAUACUAUAGACCUUGAAUGCUGUGGAGGUGAGCGGAAUAUGUCAUGUAGCGGUGAAAUGCUUAGAUAUGACAUAGAACACCAAUUGCGAAGGCAGCUCACUACCCAGAUAUUGACACUGAGGCACGAAAGCGUGGGGAUCAAACAGG
rnacentral:rRNA from 1 species